CGCCGCCUCUCCCCCGCC
rnacentral:miRNA from 1 species